UGGGGAAUUUUGGACAAUGGGGGAAAGCCUGAUCCAGCAAUGCCGCGUGCGUGAAGAAGGCCUUCGGGUUGUAAACUGCUUUUGUACGGAACGAAACGGCCUUUCCUAAUACCGAGGGCUAAUGACGGUACCCGAAAAAUAAGCACCGGCUAACUACGUGCCAGCAGCCGCGGUAAUGA
rnacentral:rRNA from 1 species